rnacentral:rRNA from 1 species
UACGUAGGGUGCAAGCGUUGUCCGGAAUUAUUGGGCGUAAAGAGCUCGUAGGCGGUCUGUCGCGUCUGCUGUGAAAAUCCAGGGCUCAACCCUGGACCUGCAGUGGGUACGGGCAGACUAGAGUGCGGUAGGGGAGAUCGGAAUUCCUGGUGUAGCGGUGAAAUGCGCAGAUAUCAGGAGGAACACCGGUGGCGAAGGCGGAUCUCUGGGCCGUAACUGACACUGAGGGACGAAAGCUAGGGGAGCGAAUGGG